rnacentral:rRNA from 1 species
AGUGAACGCUGGCGGUAGGCCUAACACAUGCAAGUCGAACGGCAGCACAGUGAGAGCUUGCUCUUACGGGUGGCGAGUGGCGGACGGGUGAGGAAUACAUCGGAAUCUACUUUUUCGUGGGGGAUAACGUAGGGAAACUUACGCUAAUACCGCAUACGACCUACGGGUGAAAGCAGGGGAUCUUCGGACCUUGCGCGAUUGAAUGAGCCGAUGUCGGAUUAGCUAGUUGGCGGGGUAAAGGCCCACCAAGGCGACGAUCCGUAGCUGGCCUGAGAGGAUGAUCAGCCACACUGGAACUGAGACACGGUCCAGACUCCUACGGGAGGCAGCAGUGGGGAAUAUUGGACAAUGGGCGCAAGCCUGAUCCAGCCAUACCGCGUGGGUGAAGAAGGCCUUCGGGUUGUAAAGCCCUUUUGUUGGGAAAGAAAAGCAGCAGGUUAAUACCCCGCUGUUCUGACGGUACCCAAAGAAUAAGCACCGGCUAACUUCGUG